CGACUUACCAACCCGAUGCAAACUGCGAAUACCGGAGAAUGUUAUCACGGGAGACACACGGCGGGUGCUAACGUCCGUCGUGAAGAGGGAAACAACCCAGACCGCCAGCUAAGGUCCCAAAGUCAUGGUUAAGUGGGAAACGAUGUGGGAAGGCCCAGACAGCCAGGAUGUUGGCUUAGAAGCAGCCAUCAUUUAAAGAAAGCGUAAUAGCUCACUGGUCGAGUCGGCCUGCGCGGAAGAUGUAACGGGGCUAAACCAUGCACCGAAGCUGCGGCAGCGACGCUGAUGCGUUGUUGGGUAGGGGAGCGUUCUGUAAGCCUGCGAAGGUGUGCUGUGAGGCAUGCUGGAGGUAUCAGAAGUGCGAAUGCUGACAUAAGUAACGAUAAAGCGGGUGAAAAGCCCGCUCGCCGGAAGACCAAGGGUUCCUGUCCAACGUUAAUCGGGGCAGGGUGAGUCGACCCCUAAGGCGAGGCCGAAAGGCGUAGUCGAUGGGAAACAGGUUAAUAUUCCUGUACUUGGUGUUACUGCGAAGGGGGGACGGAGAAGGCUAUGUUGGCCGGGCGACGGUUGUCCCGGUUUAAGCGUGUAGGCUGGUUUUCCAGGCAAAUCCGGAAAAUCAAGGCUGAGGCGUGAUGACGAGGCACUGCGGUGCUGAAGCAACAAAUGCCCUGCUUCCAGGAAAAGCCUCUAAGCAUCAGGUAACAUCAAAUCGUACCCCAAACCGACACAGGUGGUCAGGUAGAGAAUACCAAGGCGCUUGAGAGAACUCGGGUGAAGGAACUAGGCAAAAUGGUGCCGUAACUUCGGGAGAAGGCACGCUGAUAUGUAGGUGAAGUCCCUCGCGGAUGGAGCUGAAAUCAGUCGAAGAUACCAGCUGGCUGCAACUGUUUAUUAAAAACACAGCACUGUGCAAACACGAAAGUGGACGUAUACGGUGUGACGCCUGCCCGGUGCCGGAAGGUUAAUUGAUGGGGUUAGCGCAAGCGAAGCUCUUGAUCGAAGCCCCGGUAAACGGCGGCCGUAACUAUAACGGUCCUAAGGUAGCGAAAUUCCUUGUCGGGUAAGUUCCGACCUGCACGAAUGGCGUAAUGAUGGCCAGGCUGUCUCCACCCGAGACUCAGUGAAAUUGAACUCGCUGUGAAGAUGCAGUGUACCCGCGGCAAGACGGAAAGACCCCGUGAACCUUUACUAUAGCUUGACACUGAACAUUGAGCCUUGAUGUGUAGGAUAGGUGGGAGGCUUUGAAGUGUGGACGCCAGUCUGCAUGGAGCCGACCUUGAAAUACCACCCUUUAAUGUUUGAUGUUCUAACGUUGACCCGUAAUCCGGGUUGCGGACAGUGUCUGGUGGGUAGUUUGACUGGGGCGGUCUCCUCCUAAAGAGUAACGGAGGAGCACGAAGGUUGGCUAAUCCUGGUCGGACAUCAGGAGGUUAGUGCAAUGGCAUAAGCCAGCUUGACUGCGAGCGUGACGGCGCGAGCAGGUGCGAAAGCAGGUCAUAGUGAUCCGGUGGUUCUGAAUGGAAGGGCCAUCGCUCAACGGAUAAAAGGUACUCCGGGGAUAACAGGCUGAUACCGCCCAAGAGUUCAUAUCGACGGCGGUGUUUGGCACCUCGAUGUCGGCUCAUCACAUCCUGGGGCUGAAGUAGGUCCCAAGGGUAUGGCUGUUCGCCAUUUAAAGUGGUACGCGAGCUGGGUUUAGAACGUCGUGAGACAGUUCGGUCCCUAUCUGCCGUGGGCGCUGGAGAACUGAGGGGGGCUGCUCCUAGUACGAGAGGACCGGAGUGGACGCAUCACUGGUGUUCGGGUUGUCAUGCCAAUGGCACUGCCCGGUAGCUAAAUGCGGAAGAGAUAAGUGCUGAAAGCAUCUAAGCACGAAACUUGCCCCGAGAUGAGUUCUCCCUGACUCCUUGAGAGUCCUGAAGGAACGUUGAAGACGACGACGUUGAUAGGCCGGGUGUGUAAGCGCAGCGAUGCGU
rnacentral:rRNA from 1 species